rnacentral:lncRNA from 1 species
AUUACCUGUGAAGUCAUAUGAACCAGUCUAUGAACAUGUUAAGGUAUCUCAUGCUUGCAAGGAAUAUAUGAACAGUAACCAAGGAUUCAAAUGAAGAAUUAGGCAGAAGCUUUGAAAUCUUAGCCUGAGACUUAAUGGUGUUCUUGCUGUGGUCCUCCAUCUACCAGCAACACAGGACAUGACGCUGAGAGUGAUCGCCAUGUACUCAUCUACGACUGUUGCAAGUCAAGUGCAGGCCGCUUUCAAAAGCGUCGUAAUGGGAAGAGACCGAAACACCAUUCAACAGAGUUGGAGGUGCAUCAAAUCAUCAAGAUAAGAACCACACUUCCUUACCGGUGGUUGAUUCUAAUCGAGGACUCCUCAUCUUGGACACGAUCACAACUA